CAGCAGUGGGGAAUAUUGCACAAUGGGGGAAACCCUGAUGCAGCGACGCCGCGUGGAGGAAGAAGGUCUUCGGAUUGUAAACUCCUGUUGUUGAGGAAGAUAAUGACGGUACUCAACAAGGAAGUGACGGCUAACUACGUGCCAGCAGCCGCGGUAAAACGUAGGUCACAAGCGUUGUCCGGAAUUACUGGGUGUAAAGGGAGCGCAGGCGGGAAGACAAGUUGGAAGUGAAAUCUAUGGGCUCAACCCAUAAACUGCUUUCAAAACUGUUUUUCUUGAGUAGUGCAGAGGUAGGCGGAAUUCCCGGUGUAGCGGUGGAAUGCGUAGAUAUCGGGAGGAACACCAGUGGCGAAGGCGGCCUACUGGGCACCAACUGACGCUGAGGCUCGAAAGUGUGGGUAGCAAACAGGAUUAGAUACCCUGGUAGUCCACACCGUAAACGAUGAUUACUAGGUGUUGGAGGAUUGACCCCUUCAGUGCCGCAGUUAACACAAUAAGUAAUCCACCUGGGGAGUACGACCGCAAGGUUGAAACUCAAAGGAAUUGACGGGGGCCCGCACAAGCAGUGGAGUAUGUGGUUUAAUUCGAAGCAACGCGAAGAACCUUACCAGGUCUUGACAUCCGAUGCAUAGCACAGAGAUGUGUGAAAUCCUUCGGGACAUCGAGACAGGUGGUGCAUGGUUGUCGUCAGCUCGUGUCGUGAGAUGUUGGGUUAAGUCCCGCAACGAGCGCAACCCUUAUGGUCAGUUACUACGCAAGAGGACUCUGGCCAGACUGCCGUUGACAAAACGGAGGAAGGUGGGGAUGACGUCAAAUCAUCAUGCCCUUUAUGACUUGGGCUACACACGUACUACAAUGGCGUUAAACAAAGAGAAGCAAGACCGCGAGGUGGAGCAAAACUCAAAAACAACGUCUCAGUUCAGAUUGCAGGCUGCAACUCGCCUGCAUGAAGUCGGAAUUGCUAGUAAUCGCGGAUCAGCAUGCCGCGGUGAAUACGUUCCCGGGCCUUGUACACACCGCCCGUCACACCAUGAGAGUCGGGAACACCCGAAGUCCGUAGCCUAACCGCAAGGAGGGCGCGGCCGAAGGUGGGUUCGAUAAUUGGGGUGAAGUCGUAACAAGGUAGCCGUUCGAGAACGAGCGGCUG
rnacentral:rRNA from 1 species